rnacentral:lncRNA from 1 species
UGCUCUCAACAUCAGUGCCCAGUAAGAAAGGAUGAAUGUGGAGUGAAAUUGAAUCCUGUGACAGGAAACAGUGGGGAAACUAAGGAUCAUUAAAAAAGGAAGAGACAUCAAGUUGGCAAAUGAUACUGACCAAUCUUCUAACACACUUAUCCCCGAAGGCCUUGCAGGAGGAUAGAACUGGAAACUUCACGGCAGCCUUCAACUUCAAUGAUGAGGAUGACCUGUAGAAGAUGAAACCUUUACUAUGAAGCUGCACACCCACCUGGGUUUGGACUCAGAGAGGCUUAUGGAGGAGAUCUAGUGGGAGCUUGAGAUGCUGCAGGCCUCCCUGCUGCCCCACACCAACAACUUGAGGCAGCAACAGAUCAGCAGUGAUCAGUGUGAUCAGCAGGUGCACCUGGCACCCUCCAUAGAUGUGCAGAGACUAAUGGGUAUAGCUUCACUUCCAGACAAUUCUCUUAAGGCCAAC